GAUGAACGCUGGCGGCGUGCCUAAUACAUGCAAGUCGAGCGAACAGACGAGGAGCUUGCUCCUCUGACGUUAGCGGCGGACGGAUGAGUAACACGUGGAUAACCUACCUAUAAUACUGGGAUAACUUCGGGAAACCGGAGCUAAUACCGGAUAAUAUAUUGAACCGCAUGGUUCAAUAGUGAAAGACGGCUUUGCUGUCACUUAUAGAUGGAUCCGCGCCGCAUUAGCUAGUUGGUAAGGUAACGGCUUACCAAGGCAACGAUGCGUAGCCGACCUGAGAGGGUGAUCGGCCACACUGGAACUGAGACACGGUCCAGACUCCUACGUGAGGCAGCAGUAGGGAAUCUUCCGCAAUGGGCGAAAGCCUGACGGAGCAACGCCGCGUGAGUGAUGAAGGCCUUCGGAUCGUAAAACUCUGUUAUUAGGGAAGAACAAAUGUGGAAUUAACUAUGCACGUCUUGACGGUACCUAAUCAGAAAGCCACGGCUAACUACGUG
rnacentral:rRNA from 1 species